UACAGAGGGUGCGAGCGUUAAUCGGAAUUACUGGGCGUAAAGCGUGCGUAGACGGUUAUUUAAGUCGGGUGUGAAAGCCCCGGGCUCAACCUGGGAAUUGCAUUCGAGACUGAAUAGCUAGGGUACGGUAGAGGGAAGUGGAAUUUCCGGUGUAGCGGUGAAAUGCGUAGAUAUCGGAAGGAACAUCAGUGGCGAAAGCGGCUUCCUGGACCAGUACCGACGUCAGGCACGAAAGCGUGGGGAUCAAACAGG
rnacentral:rRNA from 1 species